ensembl:lncRNA
AAUUGCCUCAAAUAGCUCACCAGGAGGGGGACGAGUGCUCAAGCAGCAGCCCGUGAGGGAUGCCACAGGCAAAGGUCACACUGAAUUUGAUUACUUUUUACCAUCGUGAUACCACAGUCCCACUUAGAUAGAUAGCUUUUGAUCUCUAUUCAAGUCCCGGGGUACUUUCUUUUCCAUCCCCUGUCUUUGCUUUCCCUGACUAUAGAACAGCCAGAAUCCAGUUCCCCACAAUGCUUUUCCCUGUUUGGUUGUGCCUUCCUUUCAUCCUCAGUGCUGCCCUCUGUGCUAAGAAUAAAACAGGUUGAUAUGAACCCAGAGAUGGGAUGUGAUUGGUAGACACGAGACUACAGAAGUCUCUUGGAAGAGGCUGCAUUUAAACUGCAAAGUAACUGAUGACCAGGAGCGGCAUGGCAGAAUCAGCUCAAAGUGGAACUAUGUCUUCGUGGAAGCCACACGACGAUGGAAGUCAAGCAAUCGGGAUUGGGAUAUCGGAAGUCACCAGGUACAAAGACUGACAAAGCUACAGUAUUUUGGCAGAAUCUCGCACGGCAAUCUGCUUUCCCUUUAUAAUAAUCACCC